rnacentral:rRNA from 1 species
AACACAUGCAAGUCGAGGGGAAACGACAUCGAAAGCUUGCUUUUGGUGGGCGUCGACCGGCGCACGGGUGAGUAACGCGUAUCCAACCUGCCCACCACUUGGGGAUAACCUUGCGAAAGUAAGACUAAUACCCAAUGAUAUCCCACGAAGGCAUCCGAAUGGGAUUAAAGAUUUAUCGGUGAUGGAUGGGGAUGCGUCUGAUUAGCUUGUUGGCGGGGUAACGGCCCACCAAGGCAACGAUCAGUAGGGGUUCUGAGAGGAAGGUCCCCCACAUUGGAACUGAGACACGGUCCAAACUCCUACGGGAGGCAGCAGUGAGGAAUAUUGGUCAAUGGGCGAGAGCCUGAGCCAGCCAAGUAGCGUGCAGGAUGACGGCCCUAUGGGUUGUAAACUGCUUUUAUAAGGGAAUAAAGUGGGUCACGUGUGACUUUUUGCAUGUACCUUAUGAAUAAGGACCGGCUAAUUCCGUGCCAGCAGCCGCGGUAAUACGGAAGGUCCGGGCGUUAUCCGGAUUUAUUGGGUUUAAAGGGAGCGUAGGCCGGAGAUUAAGCGUGUUGUGAAAUGUAGUGGCUCAACCUCUGCACUGCAGCGCGAACUGGUCUUCUUGAGUACGCACAACGUGGGCGGAAUUCGUGGUGUAGCGGUGAAAUGCUUAGAUAU